AAAAUAUAGAAGAAUAAGCAAAGAAAAGAAAAUCCAUUGCCUUAAAAUCAAUAACUAAUGAAGAUAUAGAGAGUGACACGUCGGAGGAAUCCGACAAUGAUGAUGAAAUCACCAUGAUCACUAGAAGAUUCAGAAGAUUCAUAAGAAAGAAAAGGUUUGGCCCUAAGAAAAAGGAUAUAUUAGAGGAAAAGAAGCAAAGCAAAGGAGAAAGAAAAGAAAAGGAGCAACCAGUAAUAUGUUAUGAAUGUAAAAGAUCCAGACACUUUAGAACAGACUGCCCCCUACUCAAAAGAACUUAAGGAG
rnacentral:lncRNA from 1 species